AUGGCGGUGGAGAAUAUCUGGUUCUUCUGUCUACUUUCUCUCGGUUACUGUGGAUUAUCCGUGCAAGAGAAGCCCAUAUCCGUGGAGCUGAGCUGUGGUGCUGGUCCUGUCCAUGUGGUUCUGGAGCCUGAUCACCCUUUGCUGCUGGAAUGCCACCUGGGGGCCAGUGAGUCCCCCCUCAACGUGACCUGGCUGCGGGAUGGGGUGCUUCUCUCAGAAAGCCAGACCAUCCGGCCUUUGUCCAACGGGUCUCUACUCAUCUUGCCCUCUUCCACGGAUGGCCAGGCUCCAGUGGGUGUGGAGGGCGGAUACAGUUGCCUAAGUACCAGCUCGACAGGAGCGCUGACCAGCCGGGCUCUCACCCUGCAUCUCGCCAGUAGUAAUGAUGCCUGCCAUCUCUGCUGUAGACACUGAUGGACACUGCAGUUUUAAUGUAAGAGAGAGCGUGUCAUGUUAGUCUAACAUGAAAAUAAAAAAAAACUGAUAUAAGAAUAGAAAAAUAAC
ensembl:lncRNA